AACGAACGUUGGCGGCGUGGUUAAGGCAUGCAAGUCGCACGAGAAAUCUCGGCUUCGGUCGGGAGAGUACAGUGGCGAAAGGGUGAGGACAUCGUGGAUAACCUACCCAAGAGUGGGGAAUAACCCUUCUAACGGAGGGCUAAUACCGCAUUCGCCCUCGAGGCCGCAUGGCUUUGAGGGGAAAGACGGGGAUCCUUAGGGACCUGUCGCUCAUGGCGGGGUUCACGACCCAUCAGCUAGUUGGUGAGGUAACGGCCCACCAAGGCUCUGACGGGUACCCGGGCUGAGAGGCUGACCGGGCACACUGGAACUGAGACACUGUCCAGACACCUACGGGAGGCAG
rnacentral:rRNA from 1 species